rnacentral:rRNA from 1 species
AGGCGAUGAAGGACGUGCUAAUCUGCGAUAAGCGCCGGUAAGGUGAUAUGAACCGUUAUAACCGGCGAUUUCCGAAUGGGGAAACCCAGUGUGACUCGUCACACUAUCAUUAACUGAAUCCAUAGGUUAAUGAGGCGAACCGGGGGAACUGAAACAUCUAAGUACCCCGAGGAAAAGAAAUCAACCGAGAUUCCCCCAGUAGCGGCGAGCGAACGGGGAGGAGCCCAGAGCCUGAAUCAGCAUGUGUGUUAGUGGAAGCGUCUGGAAAGGCGCGCGAUACAGGGUGACAGCCCCGUACACAAAAGCGCAUGUGCUGUGAGCUCGAUGAGUAGGGCGGGACACGUGGUAUCCUGUCUGAAUAUGGGGGGACCAUCCUCCAAGGCUAAAUACUCCUGACUGACCGAUAGUGAACCAGUACCGUGAGGGAAAGGCGAAAAGAACCCCGGCGAGGGGAGUGAAAAAGAACCUGAAACCGUGUACGUACAAGCAGUGGGAGCCCCACCACUAAGCCAGUGGUGAACUCCACAUACGCAUCCUUUGCUGAGGAUACGGUUAACGGAGCGAAAGCGACGUUCAACCGCAAAAGAAGCAGAGGGGGCUUAGUGGUGG